CCCUUGUUCUGUCUUUCUCUGUCCUCUGUAAAUUGGGUCAGACUGGGUUCUCUUAGAUCUUAGUGUCUUAGUAGGAAGCACCCUACUCCCACCUCCCCCUCUGCUGCAGAGAGUGUCAUAACUGCAGGAGAGAGGGCUUUCUGAAGCAGGAGGAGAGGAGAGAAGAGUCCACACUCACUUAAGUUUUCCUCUCCCACCUAUGCUAUUCUCACCAUUCUGUAACACAUCUUUAUCGAGGCGAGUAUUCUGGUUGAUGUACUGCCUGCUGCCUUUUGUGUCUUUUUAAGUGGAAGAUGGCCCCUUAUGUUAAGUGGUUAAUGCAUUUUAUUUUUUAGUGCUUUCCUGAAGUUGUUUAAAUAUAUGCUCUGAUAAUAUUAAAAUAUUAUUUAUUUUAAAAUAAGAGCAGGCACUGUAACAAGUUACAUUUAAAGAUCCAAUGAAAUCAGAUGAGAUGAGUUUGGUGGCUUUUAGUCUUCUUGCUUUGAGGCUAAUCUAUAUGCUGAUGUAUUUCUGAAUGUUAACAUAACCCACCGAUUCACUAUCUCAACAAAUUAGAAUACUUCAUAAGACCAAUAAUAAUAAUAAAAAAUACAUUUUUAGUGAAUUGUCAUUUAACCAACUUUUUGUGCUUUUGGCGGUGUGGGCAGUUGCAAAUCCUGCUGGAAAAUGAAAUAAGCAUCUUCAAAAGCUGGUCAGCAAAAGGAAGAAUGAAGUGCUCCAAAAUUUCUUGGUAAACGUAUGCAGUGACUUUGGUUUUCAAAAAAACAUAAUGGACCAACACCAGCAGAUGACAUUGCACCCCAAAUCUUCACAGACUGUGGAAACUUAACACUGGACUUCAAGCAACUUGGGCUAUGAUCUUCUCCACCCUUCCUCCAGACUCUAGGACCUUGAUUUCCAAAUGAAAUCCAAAACUUGCUCUCAUCUGAAAAAAGGACUUUGGACCACUGGUCAACUGUCCAGUUCUUCUUCUCCUUAGCCCAGCUGACACCACCAUAUCAUCUUAUUUUUCACUCCCUUGUCACCAGAUGCCUGUCAAAAGAGACUCUUGUCACCAGAUGCCUAACAAAAGAGAUUUCAUGGUCCAAUCAAUACUUGAUUUUACUCUUAAAAUCAAAGUACAAUGAAAAUAGCAUGUCAAAUGACUUGUACACUUGUACGCUUGUAACUUAUACUUGUACUACAUCCUAAAAUGUGUGCCUUAUUUCAACAAACUGUUUUGUCACAGACUGUUUGCAUGUUAGCAUUAGCAUCUAGCUCAUUCCUUGAAAGGCCACAAGAAAUCAG
ensembl:lncRNA